UCCAGCAGCGACCUCGAGGACAACACCGCGCUGUUCCGCACUAACAGAGGCACUCAUUCCAGAACCCCUCUCAGCAGCGACCACGACAAUCCGACUCAGCAGUGCAGAAAAUAACACAAAUACGAUUGGAUAUAUGUGUCACGAAUCAAAUUAAGCUUAGGAUGGGCUAAAUAUGUUUGUGACAACUAAAAACGUACAUGUUUUGCUACAUAUAUCAUGACAAUAGUAUAUUAAAUACUAAAAAUGAAACUGUUUUACGUGACAGGUACAUUUCAGUUUACAGUCAAACCUGUCCCAGAGACCACCUUUUAAUAGAGACCAUCUGUCCAUAAAAACCACAACGAUUUUCUCCCAAUCCUUUCAAUUCCUUUCAAUCGACCCUGCGAAUAAAGACCACUUGUGAACAUAGACCACAACGACCAAAUCCCUUAGGUGGUCUUUAUUGACAGGUUAGACUGUAAUUGCUAUUGUGUGUAGCUCACUAUGUUUCAUUUAACAAUUAUGCAUUGGGGUCAAAACGUGUCAAUAAAAACAUAAACACAAAAAUAAAAUUUUCCAACCGUU